CCUCGAGCCCGGGGCCCCGCACGCCGUGCGGGGAGAUGUGCCCGGAGGAGGGCGGCGCGGCCGGGCUGGGCGAGCUCCGCUCCUGGUGGGAAGUGCCGGCCAUCGCGCACUUCUGCUCUCUCUUUCGCACCGCGUUCCGCCUGCCCGACUUUGAGAUCGAGGAGUUAGAAGCUGCUCUUCACCGAGAUGACGUGGAGUUUAUCAGUGACCUGAUUGCCUGCCUGCUUCAGGGCUGCUAUCAACGAAGGGAUAUCACGCCUCAGACUUUCCACAGCUACUUGGAGGACAUCAUCAACUACCGCUGGGAGCUGGAAGAAGGCAAGCCCAACCCUCUGAGAGAAGCCAGCUUCCAGGACCUGCCUCUGCGGACCCGCGUGGAGAUCCUGCACCGCCUCUGUGACUACCGGCUCGAUGCAGACGAUGUCUUUGAUCUUCUCAAGGGUCUGGAUGCAGACAGUCUCCGCGUGGAGCCACUGGGGGAGGACAAUUCUGGGGCACUCUAUUGGUAUUUUUAUGGAACACGAAUGUACAAAGAGGACCCGGUACAAGCAAAAUCCAAUGGAGAACUGUCUUUGAGCAGGGAAAGUGAAGGACAAAAAAAAGUAUCGAGUGUUCCUGGAAAAACAGGAAAAAGAAGAGGAAGACCCCCAAAACGGAGGAAACUACAGGAGGAGAUCAUGGUGAGUGAAAAGCAGGAAGAAAACUCCUUGGCAUCUGAGCCACAGACAAGAAAUGGAUCUCAAGGGCCAGGCCAAGGCACUUGGUGGCUCCUUUGCCAAACAGAAGAAGAAUGGAGGCAGGUCACUGAGAGUUUUCGAGAGAGGACCUCCCUUCGAGAACGGCAGCUCUACAAGCUGCUCAGUGAGGACUUCCUGCCUGAGAUCUGCAACAUGAUUGCCCAGAAGGAAACUCCUAUGCUUACCAGAGUUGAAAAACAGAAGCGCAAGGAGGAGGAGGAAGAACGUCAGAUUCUUCUAGCAGUGCAGAAGAAGGAGCAGGAGCAGAUGCUAAAGGAGGAGAGGAAACGGGAGCUGGAAGAGAAGGUCAAGGCAGUGGAAGAUCGAGCUAAGAGGAGAAAGCUCAGGGAAGAGAGGGCAUGGCUGCUGGCUCAAGGGAAGGAGCUCCCCCCAGAACUUUCCCACCUGGACCCCAAUUCUCCCAUGAGAGAAGAAAAAAAAACUAAGGACCUCUUUGAGUUGGACGAUGAUUUCACUGCCAUGUAUAAAGUUCUAGAUGUGGUAAAGGCUCACAAGGAUUCCUGGCCCUUUUUGGAACCUGUGGAUGAAUCUUAUGCCCCUAACUAUUAUCAGAUUAUUAAGGUCCCCAUGGAUAUUUCAAGCAUGGAGAAGAAACUGAAUGGAGGUUUAUACUGUACCAAGGAGGAAUUCGUAAAUGACAUGAAGACUAUGUUUAGGAAUUGUCGAAAAUAUAAUGGGGAAAGUAGCGAGUAUACCAAGAUGUCUGAUAAUUUAGAGAGGUGUUUCCAUCGGGCCAUGAUGAAACAUUUUCCUGGUGAAGAUGGAGACACAGAUGAAGAAUUUUGGAUCAGAGAGGAUGAAAAACGGGAGAAGAGACGGAGUCGGGCCGGGCGAAGUGGCGGAAGUCAUGUUUGGACCCGCUCCAGGGACUCCGAAGGGCCCAGCAGGAAACAGCAGCCCGUGGAGAACGGAGGGAAGUCACUGCCCCCUGCACGCCGAGCGUCCGCUUCCGGGGAUGACCAGGGCAGCCAUUCUGCACAGCCCCUCUGGGAGGGGGGCACUUCGAAUGGCAGAGGCUUCUCCCGUGCCCUGCAUUGUGGCGGGAUGCCCAGCCAGAAGCCAGCAGUGCCUGGAACAUUUGGCCCUCUUCGAGGAUCAGACCCUGCCAGCUACUGUGGCUCCUCUCGAGUCCCAGAGCCACAGCCCGGAGAGCCUGCCCAGCAUCAUCAGCCUUUUGCCAUGCAGCCCCCAGUUGGAAUUAACCACCACCGAGGCCCCAGACUAGGCCCACCUGAAGAGAAGCAGACACGUGGGGGGCUGCCGCACCUUCCCAGCAUGGGGUCACAUCCCGGAUCCUUGCCGCUGCGGCAGAUGAGUGGCCCCGGUCAGGAUGGAAACAUGUAUCCACCAGCUCAAUUCCAGCCAGGAUUUAUUCCUCCCAGGCAUAGUGGGGCUCCAGCCCGACCCUCAGACUUUCCCGACAGCUCAGAAAUUCCUCCUAGCCACAUGUAUCGAUCCUACAAGUACCUGAAUCGAGCACACUCUGCUGUCUGGAAUGGGAACCACAGUGCAACAAACACAGGACCCUUGGUGUCAGAUGACAAGCCCCACCUAGGGCUAGGACCCUCUCACCAGCCUCAUGCUCUUGGUCACAUGAUGGAUUCCCGUGUAAUGAGACCACCUAUCCCCCCAAACCAGUGGACCGAGCAGUCAAGCUUUCUACCUCAUGGAGUUCCCUCUCCAGGGUACAUGCGAGCGCCCUGUAAGUCUGCUGGACAUCGGUUACAGCCACCUCCAGCCCCAGCGCCAAGCUCUCUGUUUGGAGUGCCCUCCCAGGCUCUGCGGGGCGUGCCAGGAGGGGACUCCAUGAUGGACAGCCCAGAGAUGAUCGCCAUGCAGCAGCUGUCCUCCCGCGUGUGCCGACCAGCAGAGCCUUUGCCUGGGCUUGACGAGAACCCAGCAAGUGUUGGUGCUUCAGAGGGGGCAUACCUCAAACAACUACCUCACCCUACUCCUCCCCUGCAGGACGACUGCUCCAGGCAGAGCUCGCCACGAGAAAGGGAAACCGAGGGCCCGGAGCUCAAAAGCAACUCCGCAGAAUCUGCAGACAACUGUAAAGCAACAAAGGGCAAAAAUACCUGGUCCUCAGAUAGCAGCUACACCAGCCCAGCUACCCAGGGGGCGUGUAUGAGAAACCUCUCUGCUGUGGCAGACAGGGGGGCUCUGUCCGAAAAUGGAGUCAUUGGUGAAGCAUCUCCUUGUGGAUCAGAGGGAAAAGGCUUUGGUGGCAGUGGUUCUGAAAAGCCACUCUGCCCCAGAGGCAAAGCAUUGCAGGAAGCCAUGCUGUGUACAGGACAGAAUGCAACCACAUCUCCCAGCACAGACCCUGGUUUGAUGGGGGGCACUGUAAGCCAGUUUUCUCCCUUGUACAUGCCUGGUCUGGAAUACCCAAAUGCAGCGACGCAUUACCACGUCAGUCCAGGCCUGCAAGGUUUGGGCCCUGUGAUGGGGGGCAGAUCCUCCUCAGCGUCACAUCCUCAGCAUUUCCCCCCGAGAGGCUUUCCAUCCGGCAGUCCUCAUCCUGGAGUCUUUCCCCGGUGUCGCCCUCAGCAAGGGAUGAGGUAUUCCUACCAGCCCUCACCUCCGCCUUCCUACCACCACUACCAGCGACCUCCUUACUAUACGUGUCCACAGGGCUUUCCCGAAUGGCAGAGACCCCUCCAUCCCCAGGGAAGCCCAAGUGAGCCCCCAGCUAGUCAGCCCCCCCCACCGAGGUCCCUCUUCUCAGAUAAGAAUGCCAUGGCUAAUCUACAGGGCUGCGAGACACUGAAUGCUGCCUUAAUGUCCCCAGCCCAAAUGGAUGCAGUGGCCACUAAAGUUGUCCCAGCUGAUGGGCAGAAUCCCAGUCCAGAGGAGGAGAAGCUGGAUGAGUCUAUGGAGAGACCAGAGAGUCCCAAAGAAUUUUUAGACCUGGACAACCAUAAUGCAGCCACCAAGCGACAGAGUUCGUUGUCGACCAGUGAAUACCUUUAUGGAACUCCUCCUCCACCUCUGAGUUCAGGGAUGGGUUUUGGAUCAUCUGCCUUCCCACCCCACGGUGUGGUGCUACACGCGGGGCCUCCUUACACCCCUCAGCAGCCAGCCGGCCACUUCCAGCCCAGGGCCUACUCAUCCCCUGGGGCCGUGCCCCCGCCUCUCCAUCCAGUGGCUGCCCAACCCAAUGGCCUCUCUCAGGAGGGCCCCAUCUAUCGCUGCCAGGAAGAGGGCCUGGGUCACUUUCAGGCUGUCAUGAUGGAACAAAUUGGCACUGGAAGUGGAUUAAGGGGGCCUUUCCAGGAAACAUAUAGACCGUCAGGAAUGCAAAUGCAUCCAGUCCCGGCGCAGUCCUUGUUCCCAAAGACGCCGGCACCAGCAUCACCGCAGGGAGAGCUGCCACCACGUAAGCCCCCAGCACUUCCUCUGGAUCAGAGCUAGUCCAAGGAAGAAAUAACUCCCAAGGAAAUAGAAAGCUGCACAUGAAGACUGGAACAUGGAGAAUUUGGGGGCGUGACCCUUGCUUUCUCUAUUCCUGUCACCCUGCUCCACCCCUAACAGUGCAUCACUUCCGUUCAGGAGCUGGAGCACUCCCUGGAAGCACCUCUACUCCUUAGAUGACUGGCACACACUCGCAAAUGUCCUGGGUCGGGGAUCCCUUGCAUAACGGAGGUAGACGGUCAAGAAGAACAGAUGAAACUGGAGUUCACGACGACCUUUCCAAAUCCUGAGACUCUUGUUCAGGGAAAAUCACUUUAAACUUGGGGCAGGGGACAUACUUAAAAAUGGAGUGGUGCUUUUAAAAAGUUUCAUGAGCAGCUAAACUCAGGCCUGUCAGGACUGUGAUCUAGAAGGCAUGACACAGCUUUCUGGCAUGAAUCACAUUUUGUGGAAGUGACUACUCAGGUUUGUAUGUGUUAGUAUCAGUAAAGAAAUUGCACAGAUUGGAAUAGGAAAAAUGUAUUCUAUAGAUUUACAGUUUGAAUUUAGGAAUAUUUCAUUCUAUAUAGUUUUACUCAUUUUAAGUGAAUCUUAGUAAAAUCAUUUAUGGUGAUUUAAAAUAGCAAGAACAAGUUCUUGGAAAUCAUUUGUUGUAUCUGUAAUAGAAAACAGUUUUCCAGUAUUAAAUUACUUUAUUAUAGUUCUAGAAGUGAAUUACACUGGAUUCUCCCUGUUUAGCAUUCUGUAUUUGACUUUAGCUGAGAUGUCACCAAAGUUAGGACCCAUGUUUUAAACUUUUGAAUAUCCCACAAAGAAAAAAAAAUUACAGAAAAUGUCCUGAAAUUACAGGUCUUUGUAAAGAAUAGCAUAUUUUUAAGUAUGCUUUUGGGAUAGUAGAAAAGCCUUCAUAUAAGAUUAUUCUGCCCUCGUUUCUUAUAAAUUCAGCUGUGAGAGGGGCUAGUAGAACCGUUACCUCCAAUUCCAGCAUCUUUAAUGAAAUGAGGAACUGUCACGUUUAUGGUUUGCUAAACAUAUAUCAGUGGGAAAGGAAACAAAUUGGAAAUAUCCACUUUAUAGAGAUGGAGCCCCAGACAUCAGCUCUAGGUUAAUGAAAUUCACACCUGUGAGCAGAUACUUAUUAACCUGGUGCAGUUGCUUGGGGCUUGGGCAGAGUUGAGAAUUGGGUAGGAAACACAGAUGCUUCUGAGGUAUGAUACACAAAAAUAUAAAUUUUUCUCUAACAGAGAAUUUAGUUUUAAAUUUGAUGUAUUUGUAAGUGGAUUGAGUUUUGAGGCUGUGUUCUCAUUUGAUCCUAAUUCUCCUUAGAAAUCUACCAGUGGCAUAAUCUGGUUUAGAGGAGUGACGAGGUCACGAGACUUGUGGAUAGGUCUCUGAGUGUGCCCUCAAGCUAGCAUAAGCUAGCACAAUCAGAGCAUUACUAUUUCAGUUUCUUUGUUUGUGCAAAAGCAAGGAGAAGGAAAAAACCAGCUAGUUUGGGGUCGGCUAGACCUGGUCUCAGCCCAGAGCAUUUGGCUACUGACAAGUCUUUCUCUUUUCACGCUGAAGCUGGUUUGAAUGAGACGCCUGUAGCUUCUCCUUAAAUAGGAUUGCAGCAACCAUCGGGCCUCCUCCCCGGGUGCUGAAACUGCAGUGGUAGCUUUGUGCUGCGGAACCGGGAUCGUGGCAGGGUGGGCUGCAAGUGGUGGCUGGGCUGGCUGUGCCCUCCCCUGUGCCCUUGCGGCACUGGAGCAGCUGUGUGCACGCUGCUCAACGUAACUCUCUGCACUCUCCCAGCCCCCACCCCCAAUUACCUGUUGCUAGAGAGGGGCUGUGAACAAUUUAGGAAAAAAUCUGUAAAUUCCUUCAUCCUUAAUCUCCUUUCUUGGUUUGUAGACAGAUGAGAAAAUAUUAAAGAAGAACAAUAGGAAAUUACUACUGUAUUAAAUCAUGACACUGAAUAAGAGCAACAGCAAAACUGUCAGCUUCAUGCAUCCUACGUGGGAAUUGGGUUGUGCGUGACAGGUGCUAGUGCUUCCUGUCCAGCAUGUCCUGAGCUCUUUCAGGACUUUGAAGUGCAGAUCUGCUCUAAGUUGUCAGGAGCUGCAAGACUGCAGGACACACAAGACUGAGCUGCUGUGACCCCUGAUCCACUCACCCCCGAGCAGGGUCUCUUUCCUCACCUUUCUUCUCCUCUAGCACUUCUCUUUCCAAGUGUCUUAAGCAGAUGUGAUGUCUUAAAGCAGAUGUACGUGCAUCUGCCAUCUUCUUCAUUAGGGAAAUGGUGGUUAUGUGAUAUGAUUAGAAAGUAGUGUGUAAGGGUGUCCUAAGAAGUUUUGCUCUCAGGCUAGGACAUUUCACCCUGUAGGUCCCUGUCACCUUGUCAGUGGCUGGCUCUCAGUGGUCCCCAGAAGUGGGUAGCUGAGAUCCAUGGAUAAUUGGAAAUACUAUCACACCUAUUUAAUAUUCAUGGCUAACCUUUAUUAGAGUUGUUACUAAGUUACAAACUGCUUCCCCAAGGCCCAGGAGAAAUAAGAGAUCCAGAAAGAACAGGAGAGCCUUUUGGAAGGUUUCUCUCCACCCCCACCCCCACCCCCAGUCCAAGUCCAUUUGUUUAAAAAGUAGCAGGAGGCUGGUGGGUUAGCUCACUUGGUUAGAGCUGGUGUUGUAACAUCAAGGUCAAGGGUUCAGAUCCCCUUACCAGCCAGCCACGAAAUAAGUAAAAAGUAGCAGGAGCCAUUGGCUAAAAUUUGUUAAUGGGGGGUGAAUGUGGAAAAUAAAGACAAAAUAUGCAGGAUUCUUAUUUAUAACUUUCCAUCCCACCUCUUAAAAGUAAAGCUGCCCCAUCUCUCCAUUAUCAGGUUUCUUUCAUUCUUCUGGCAGAGCGUGGGAGCUUGUUAGUAACAAUUAUUUUAUCUUCACUGAGCCUAGGUUGGACUGCUCUCAAAAAGCAGUCUUUUCCUGCUCUUUAUUUUUAUGUUUAUUGGAAACCUUAAGACCUAUAGUUUGUGCCCCUCAGUUCCAUCAAACUUCAGCAUUAAAUGUCAGUUUUCUCUAGACUCCCCUUGUAGUGCAUCUCGUGAAACCAUGUGGUGUCAUCACCCCCUGGCAUCUACCUGCUGUGUUACUGUCGUUUAUGCUAAUUCCUACAGGCAUCAGAGGGUCUGCUAAAUGCUGUCCCAAACACUAAGUCCCAGUGUUGCAGUCACCACAGCUGCCAGGAACAAGCUUUCCAUCUGUACCACUUGGUUUGACAUUUUUUUUCCUUUUUUGUUAAUGGAAGUUCAAAUCUAUAAAUAAUAUACUGCUAUUAAAACCUACUUUGAAAAUUCA